rnacentral:lncRNA from 1 species
AAGUAGUUUUCCAACGCUAAUCCCUCAACCUGCAACAAAAGUAACAUCUAUGUCAUAGAGAUCAUCCAUGAUUACAUAGGAGAAGAAAAGAAGAAAGGGUGAGUCAACAGUUCAUAAAGAAUGAAGACUCCCCCGAGGGUUUUCGCAAUGAGCCAAACUUUUAUUUAUGUAAUCGCUUUUAAAAUGUGAUUAAAAAAAAAACUUAAAAACACAAACAAUAUGAAACAGAUAAACAUGAUUGACUAAAGAUAUAAAUAGGUACUUUUGAGUUUUGAGCAUUUACGAGAAAAUUCAAUUAUAAACUAAACUUGAUUUUCAAAUUUGGGAAAUUAAUACUACGCAUAAAUAAAAGAAUACAAAUACAAAGACAAACUUAAAAGAGAGAUCAACAAAGACUUAAAGUCUAAAAAGAGUUUAAAUUUACAUAACUUACUGGCUUUGACGAGUCGAGUCAGGUACUUGAGCGGCUCAACUCGGCUCGAGCUCGAGCUAGAGUAUACAAUUUCUAAAAGCCCUAAUCGAGUCCAAGCUUGGUAAAAAGGCUUUUCGAGCCUUAAAUGGGCAGCUCGGCUCAUUUAGUUCUUUAAAAUACAACACAAAUUACAACAUUAUCAAUUAAUGUAAUCUGGCCAUCUAGGUUGCCACUUGCCACCCACACUAGGCAUCAAUGCAAAUCUACAAAGACUGACUAGAGUCAGUAAACCACCAGCUAGCAUAACCAAUCAUACUCCUGAAUGACUUCUAAACUCGCACCGGAAACAAUAUCAGCCAAAUUCCAUAAAAAUAUUAUUCUUUCAUUUAUUACACUCAGUGUGGCUGAUGAAGUAAACACAAUUCAUAAAGCAAUUUAAAUCAUUAUAUAACUGUGAUGUAUGCAUAUGCUCCAAAAAUGUUUGGAUACAUAUACAUAUGAACCAUCUAAUGCACAUCUUGUACCAAUAAAAUUCAUAAAACAUCAUAUGCAAUCCAGCUGUAAACGUAUACGUAAGUUCUUCCCCUUUGAGAAUCUUAUGCAUACCCAUACAUCUAGCAUGACAUACCUCUUAAACCAAUACAUACUUUGACAUUCAUCAUCUCAUUCUUCAUAUACAUACAAAUACAUCUAGCAUGAAUAAAACAUAAUACAUAUACACAUCAUUAAAACAUAACCGUGCAAUACAUACUUUGACAUUCAUCAUCUCAUUCUUCAUAUACAUACAAAUACAUCUAGCAUGCAAUCUCAUAAAACAUAAUACAUAUACAUAUCAUUAAAACGUAACCGUGCAAUACAUACAUAACUUCGAGGACUUGUCCUCCAUUCAUACAUUUACAUCUUUUCAUCUUUUCAGCACCGAGGGCUUGCCCUCCGAGAAUUGUCUCGAACUGAUGCUGGGACUUUCCCACUCACAUCUUUUCAGCACCGAGGGCUUGCCCUCCAGAAUUGUCUUGUGAUGCUGGGGACUUGUCCCACUCAUUUAAUCUAUUCAUUCAUUUACAUAUAAAUCAUCAAUAGUGGGCCCAGCCCUGUCAUUUGAUAAUAGUGAGCCCAGCUCUGUCAUUUGAUAAUAGUGAGCCCAGCUCUGUUCAUCUCAUUUCAAUGUACUUACAAAUUCUUCUUCUUCUCAAUUUUCUGCAUCUCUCUCUCUCACGGCAUCAUCUCUCUCUCUCUCUCUCGGUCUAGGACAGCAUGAAACAGGGAGAAGCUCAACAAUCAUGUUUCAACAACAGCAUUUAAAUCAAUCUUCCUUCAUCAUAAUCUCAAAUCUCAAAGCAACAAAGUAAUCAAUACAUCAUAGCAUUUCUUUCAUAUCUUAAAACUUUCACAAUCAAGCAUGCUCAAACAACAUAUGAAUGGCUCGAUUUUUCAUAACUUUAAAGAAACUUUAAAGACAUUAAAAUUCUGCUCUUUCUCAACUUGUUUAGCAUCUUUAAAAUAUUUUAAUCUAUUCAUACAAUUACAUCUUACAACCACAAUAUCAAUCAUAUCUCAUCAAAUAUCUCAUAAAACAUUGAAAGUAUCAAGUAGUAAUAUUCAUCUUUUCAGCACCGAGGGCUUGCCCUCCGAGAAUUGUCUCGAAUUGAUGCUGGGGACUUGUCCCACUCAUUUAAUCUUUUCAUACAAUUACAUCUUUUCUAAAAUCAUUGAUAAAAUUCUUUGAAAACAUAAAACGUAUUCGUCCUCAGUGAGUAAAAGAUUACUCACCUUAAGAGACCAUGAGGGAUUCACAACUAAGCUCAAGCUUGCUUACUCUCGCAAAUGCUUCCACGAUCCAAUUACCUUGUACUACAUUGGAGUACUAGCUUUAGUCUCCAAUCUCAUGUAACAUACC